rnacentral:rRNA from 1 species
UACGAAGGGGGCUAGCGUUGCUCGGAAUUACUGGGCGUAAAGCGCACGUAGGCGGCUCUUUAAGUCAGGGGUGAAAUCCUGGAGCUCAACUCCAGAACUGCCUUUGAUACUGAGGACCUUGAGUUCGGGAGAGGUGAGUGGAACUGCGAGUGUAGAGGUGAAAUUCGUAGAUAUUCGCAAGAACACCAGUGGCGAAGGCGGCUCACUGGCCCGGUACUGACGCUGAGGUGCGAAAGCGUGGGGAGCAAACAGG